GCGAACUGUACAGUAAACAGAUGGUGUUAACGAGCGGUUUCGUGUUGUAUUCAUUUGGUUGUGUUGCUAAGUAUAGUUCCUUUGAAUCACUUUCAGUCUUUGGGAAAACAUGCAAGGAGUGUCCGGUGUCGGGCCGGCACAGUUCGGCCACGAGGCUCCGCGGAGCGACUGCUUACCGAGCCAAAUGGCGCGGAAUGAUGCUGUGGACAGUUAUGGUUAUCAGCUGAACAUGAAGACUGAGCCCCACAUGUUUAGCAUCAACUCCUCAGAGGAGCUUCAUUUCCUCAGGUCUCGAGUUCAGAUGCUGGAGAGAGAAAAGGCAGAGAUGGCUGCGGAAAACCAGCGCCUCAAAGACCUGCUCGUCAAGGAGAUUCCACACCUUUUGUCUACAAUGUGGCAGACUAUAACCAGCAAUGCUGGACAACCCAGCCACCAUCAGCCUGGCCCUUCACUAUCUGAGUCCAUCAAUGCUGGAGUCAGCAGCUACAUGCCUGCGCAGUACAAAGAACAGGACUGCAGUCUUCUGCCGUCGGUUUCGGUAGAUAUAAAGGGUGUUCAGCAGGAAAUGAUUUUGGAAACUGGUGCCUACGGACACAAAAUUGCUGGCAGCCAUAAUGGAGCUGAUGGGGGUAUGUUUGAAUCGAUGGAUGACAUGAAUGGGAAUUUGUGUCCCAGUCGCCCUCAGAGAAGAUGGUCAGAAUGCGUAUCUAAGCUCUCCAUGCAGCUCUACAGAUUCAGUAUCUUCCCUCAGUGAACACAGACCACUGGCUCCAAACAACACACCUAGAGUGAAUGUCAGUGGAACCAGCAGUGAGCUUGUGUUAAAGGUGAUGAAUAAUUGGAGCCUGCUCCUUCCCCGUGCGAGCUCUUUGUCCUCUGGGCGUUGGUCUGGCCUGCGCUGCCCUGGCACCUGCUGGGCCGUGGUGGGUGAGGGCGGGUGUGAGGGGGCUCCGCUCAAUGCCCGGAUCGAUUUCUCCACAGGUAGAGCUGCUCCCUCUCUCUCUCUCAGCUGGGGCGAUCGCCCCACGACAGGGCUUUGCGGGGAUGUGUGUUCCUGUGUCCCUCUGUGCCUCACCUUUUGUCUUCUGUCUUACAGCCUCUUUCACUCAUGCUUUUUUUUCUUUAUUUAGUUUUGUUAACUUCUUAAACUUUGAAAAGCCAUCAACAGGUCCAGACAUCCCUUCCCCUGUCUCCUAAACUACAUAUCAGUUUCAUAGAGGUUCCUGUAUAAAUCAUAGUAGUUCCUAGCAGUUACUUUCUGGAUAAAUCCCCCGCAUGUUUUCAGUAGGAGACAGACAGGCCAGUCUAACACCUGCACUCUGUGAUUACACAGCUAUGCUGUUGUAACAUGUGCAGAAUGUAGCUUGGUGUUGUCAUGUUGAAAUGAGCAUGAACGUCCCUGAAAAAGACGUCAUCUAGAAGGCAGCAUAUUUUGCUCUAAAAUGUAUUGAGCAUUCAUGAUGCUUUCACCGACAUCCAAGUUACCCACUAAUACUACCCCAUAUCAUGACAGACCCUGGCUUUGGAACUUUAGGCUGGUAAGAAUCGGGAUGGUCAUUUACUUCUUUGGCCCAGAGAACACAAUGUCCAUUAUUUCCAUAAACUGUCUGAAAGGUUGACUCGUCAGUCCAUGCACACACAGUGCAUCAGUCCAUUUCAGAUGAGCUUUAGCCCAGAGAAGUCGGCAGCGUUUCUUAACAUUGUUGAUACUUGGAUUUCUCUGAGCAUAAUACAGUUGUAACUAGUAUUUAUGGAUUCAGUAACGAACAGUGUUUGUUAACAAUGGUUAGUCAAUGUAUUUCUGCCCCGUUGGUGAUAUCCAUCAUAGAAACAUGCAGUUCCAGCUGAGGUCAAGGUCAGCUGAGUUGAAGGUCAUGGGUGUUCAGUUGUAGUUUUGGCUUUGUCUCUGGAUUUCCUGAUUUUUUAUUUUCUCCCCAAUUUAUUCGUGUCCACUUUUUGAGGCCAGCCGCUUCAACGUCAUUGAACAGCUCAACACACUCAGAGAAGAACGCUAACCGCCAGUUCUGUUAUGUCAGCUGACAGAUGCCUGCCUGAGGACCAUUCUAUCCACACAGAGAGAGUGAGGCAAACUGUGUUUUUUUCAUUUGUACUGUUUUCAUUCAAAUAUAAACAGAUGAAAGUAGAUUUAUAAAUCAUUGCUCUCUGUAAUUAUUUGCAUUUUUCUUACUGUCUAGCCUUUUUUGGAAUUGGGUUUGUAUUAAAGUGAGUCAAAUUCUGUCUGUAUUCUUUAUCUUGUCAAACAGUGAAAGCAAAUAGCAAUUGCUUUGCUAUUAACAAUGCUAGUAUUUCUCAGUUGGCAGCAAAGUGAAGAUAUUCAUCUGUGAUUUAAAACUGUACUGUGCACUGUGGAAGACAAAUGUCAACAAUGUCCAGAAAUGCCGCCAACUUCGCUGGGUUUAAGCUCAUCCGCAAUGGAAUGAUGUACAGAGGAAACAUGUAUUGUGGUCUGGAAUGAGCAUAUUUUUAUCCAAAACAAAUAAAAAUCAAUCAAGUUUAUAAGGUCCGACAGGUGGAAGUGUAUCCAGGUUCAGGCAUUUUCUGUGCAGAACACGCUUGGCUGGCGGCUAACAUGGCGCGGUCACCGACGGCGAUGGUGCGAGCCCUGUUGUUAGGGGUUUUUGACAUGGACACGCUUUUAAACAGCAACCUCAGAGGAGGGAGGAGCCGCAGACCUUCAUACUCAGACCACCACGCCCCCCUGGACCCGGACAAGCUGAACGCCAUUUACAAUGCCACGCUGGCGCGGUUCCCAUUGGCACGGAAGGGCCAGAUUGGUACCGGGAUCAACUCCAAGCUGUCUGAGAUCCGCUUCAGAUCCAGGAAAGUCAAGCGGGACAGACGUGGCCGCUGAUGGAUUUACCGCACAUAUUGGAGGAGUGUAACUCUGUUUGUGGGAAAAGUGAUUUUGUUGCGCCCGGGUGGCAUCCGUGUGUGUGUGGUUCUGUGUGUGAGACUGUGUAAGGUAAAGUGUUUGCUCACUGGUUUUAGGAUGUUGGCCAGUUUUCCAGGGUCGUUAAAUUAUUACUGUAUUGGAACGAAGGAAGAGCAAACAGUGAAUGAAGAAACACAUAUGCUGUCACACGGCCCCCCCUACACUCUUAAUAACGAAGGGUACCAUAUGGUUUUUGGUUUGAACGUACAAUUCAGAAAAAACAUCUAAUUGAUACAGAACCUUUUCUUUUUGUGGAGGUUCUUUGAACUUUAAAGGGGAUUUCCACUGAAUUUUUCAAAA